rnacentral:rRNA from 1 species
AACGAACGCUGGCGGCGUGGAUAAGACAUGCAAGUCGAACGAGAGAAUUGCUAGCUUGCUAAUAAUUCUCUAGUGGCGCACGGGUGAGUAACACGUGAGUAACCUGCCCCCAAGAGUGGGAUAGCCCCGGGAAACUGGGAUUAAUACCGCAUAAAAUCGCAAGAUUAAAGCAGCAAUGCGCUUGGGGAUGGGCUCGCGUCCUAUUAGUUAGUUGGUGAGGUAACGGCUCACCAAGGCGAUGACGGGUAGCCGGUCUGAGAGGAUGUCCGGCCACACUGGAACUGAGACACGGUCCAGACACCUACGGGUGGCAGCAGUCGAGAAUCAUUCACAAUGGGGGAAACCCUGAUGGUGCGACGCCGCGUGGGGGAAUGAAGGUCUUCGGAUUGUAAACCCCUGUCAUGUGGGAGCAAAUUAAAAAGAUAGUACCACAAGAGGAAGAGACGGCUAACUCUGUGCCAGCAGCCGCGGUAAUACAGAGGUCUCAAGCGUUGUUCGGAAUCACUGGGCGUAAAGCGUGCGUAGGCGGUUUCGUAAGUCGUGUGUGAAAGGCGGGGGCUCAACCCCCGGACUGCACAUGAUACUGCGAGACUAGAGUAAUGGAGGGGGAACCGGAAUUCUCGGUGUAGCAGUGAAAUGCGUAGAUAUCGAGAGGAACACUCGUGGCGAAGGCGGGUUCCUGGACAUUAACUGACGCUGAGGCACGAAGGCCAGGGGAGCGAAAGGGAUUAGAUACCCCUGUAGUCCUGGCAGUAAACGGUC